CUGAAAGGUAAGUGGAACAUGUGGUCAAGGCUCUACCCUAUUAUCUCCUCAGUCUUAGCAUUCUCCCUUAUAAUUUACUGCAGCCCACAAGGGCUUCAUUCUUCAUACUAGUGAUCCUAGGACUAUUGGGAAAGUUAGGGCAUCUUCCAGGUCAGUCCCUUUUCUUUUUUGCUCUGUAUCUCAUCCAUCAAACAUUAUUAGCAGGACACCCACUCAGUUGCAAAACUGAGUCAAUUCUCUUUGGAGAUUUAUACUUCUUUAUGUACAUCUUUAUCUCUUCUAAACUACUUUAGUCAGCUUAGCCUUAAGGGAAACUUUCAGACAUUCCAAUCUUUAGUUUGUCUUAACAGUUUGUUUAUUUUUUUUUCUGUUGCAGUGAAAUGUCUUCUUCCCAUGCCUACCUUCCUCUUGGUUGGAGGGCCUUCUAAUUCUUUUCACUUUCUUUUAUGUUUUCUCAGGUAGUGUCUACACAUAACUGGAAAUGGCACCAGCACCAUACAGGUGACCGGACAGCCACACAUGUGGAUGUGUGGUCUUGUCACCUAGUAUUUGACUCUUCUCCCCUGUUUCCAGUUUACAAGCUAUUCACAACUGGAAGUGAGACCAGUCCUAAAAGACUAAACUCAUCAUUCCUGAAGGUUAGGAAUGCCAUGAAUCUUAGCAUGAAUGUAGCUGUGCUGUGGAAAACACAGAGUGAAGAGACGAUCAGAAGGGUAUCUAGGUCUGCAUCAUGGAUCUCUUUCUCUCUGUGUGACCUUGGAGACUUGCCUUUCCUAAAGGUCAGUUUACUUAUCUGUACAAUAAAAAAAAUACCAUCAUCCUUGCUAGGUGU
rnacentral:lncRNA from 1 species